rnacentral:ncRNA from 2 species
GAUAAGUUAAAAGCGCCUGGACUAUCUGAGCAUAGUUGACGAGGAGAGGGAGUAUCGAUUGUUCGGCGGAUGCCCUCCGGUUGUGAGCAUGACAACCGUUAAACUUCUGAAUAAAACAAAGAGGCAACUCUUUGCACAAAAUCAGAAGUAAGCAUGCCU